AUGCUCACUUUGGCAGCACAUAUACUAAAAUUGAAAUGAUAGAGAUUAGCAUGGCCCCUAUGCAAGGAUGACCUGCAAAUUCAUGAAGAAUUCCGUAUUUUU
ensembl:snRNA U6 U6 spliceosomal RNA